CAGCCGCCGCGGUAAUACCGGCGGCCCGAGUGGCGGUCACUUUUAUUGGGCUUAAAGCGUCCGUAGCCGGGUUGGGAAGUCCUCCGGGAAAUCUGGCCGCUUAACGGUCAGAAUGCCGGAGGAUACUCCCAGCCUAGGGAGCGGGAGAGGCCGAGGGGAUUCCCGGGGUAGGGGUGAAAUCCUAUAAUCCCGGGAGGACCACCGGUGGCGAAGGCGCUCGGCUGGAACGCGUCCGACGGUGAGGGACGAAGGCCAGGGGAGCAAACCGGAUUAGAUACCCGGGUAGUCCUGGCUGUAAACGAUGCGGACUUUGUGUCGGACAAGCUAUGAGCUUGUCCGGUGCCGGAGGGAAACCGUUAAGUCCGCCGCCUGGGGAGUACGGCCGCAAGGCUGAAACUUAGAGGAAUUGGCGGG
rnacentral:rRNA from 1 species